GUAGAAAACCACUCAUUAAAUCGUCGUGCUGAACACGGGAAUUUAUUUAACCGCUCGGACUCGCUGCACACAAUCCUCUGCUUUAUCAAAUACAAAAUGGGGUUACGUCUCAAUUGACACCCUAUUCCCUAUAUAGUACACUACUUUAGACCAGAGCCCUAUGGAACCCUAUUCCCUAUAUAGUGCACUACUUUAGACCAGGGCCCACCACGGUGUUCUGAUCAACAGUAGUGUGCUAUAUAGGGAACAGGGCUCUAUUUGGGGAUACUUUCAAUGAUGAUGAUAUUGCUGUGGGUUGUUUUCCCAGUAGAAUGAUGCAGAGACGGCUAUUCUAGCAACUCUCAGACUACCUGGAUUGUCUAAUCCAGUGCUGUCCAACCCUCUUCCUGGAGAUCUACUGUCCUGUAGGUUUUCAGCCCAACCCUCUUCCUGGAGAUCUACUGUCCUGUAGGUUAUCAGUCCAACCCUCUUCCUGGAGAUCUACUGUCCUGUAGGUUAUCAGUCCAACCCUCUUCCUGGAGAUCUACUGUCCUGUAGGUUUUCAGUCCUGACCUAGUUAUUGUGAUGAUGUUUGCGUCCUAAAUGGCAAUCUAUUCCCUUUAUAGUGCCAUGUUUUAGGACCAAGAUCCACAGGGCUUCAGAAUCUCCUGAAAGAGCCACAAGAUGGCGCUGUAAUGUUUCAUUACUACCAAAUCCUACUUCCUGUGAUCAAAAUCUAGUUUUGGGGAGGAUAAUCUGACAGCCACCAGUGAUAGGGAACACUGUUACCUCUCUCUCCAUCCAUGGUGUCUGAAUAGAGGAGCAGACUGAAGAGGAGAUUCAGCAACUCUUAGAGGAUAGUGGAAGUGGAUUAAAAAAUAGAUUUACUUCAUUGUUAAACCCAUUUGAGUUUAGGUCCGUUGCCUUCAUCAGUAAUUUAUGAUUUAUUGUUAAGAAAUGGGUGUCCAUCAGCAAACACAAUGACUACUCCGCCACACUGAGAUCCUAUAUGUAUGUAUUUACU
ensembl:lncRNA